GAUGAACGCUGGCGGCGUGCUUAACACAUGCAAGUCGAACGAGAAGUGAAGACGGAAACCUUCGGGCGGAAGGCUUUAUUUCGAGUGGCGGACGGGUGAGUAACGCGUGGGUAACCUGCCUCAUACAGGGGGAUAACAGUUGGAAACGACUGUUAAUACCGCAUAAGACCACAGCACCGCAUGGUGCGGGGGUAAAAACUCCGGUGGUAUGAGAUGGACCCGCGUUCGAUUAGCCAGUUGGCGGGGUAACGGCCCACCAAAGCGACGAUCGAUAGCCGAUCUGAGAGGAUGACCGGCCACAUUGGGACUGAGACACGGCCCAAACUCCUACGGGAGGCAGCAGUGGGGAAUAUUGCACAAUGGGGGAAACCCUGAUGCAGCGACGCCGCGUGAGUGAAGAAGUAUUUCGGUAUGUAAAGCUCUAUCAGCAGGGAAGAAAAUGACGGUACCUGAGUAAGAAGCCCAGGCUAACUACGU
rnacentral:rRNA from 1 species